rnacentral:rRNA from 1 species
GUGGGGAAUAUUGGACAAUGGGGGCAACCCUGAUCCAGCAAUACCGCGUGAGUGAAGAAGGCCUUCGGGUUGUAAAGCUCUUUUACCGGGGAAGAUAAUGACGGUACCCGGGGAAUAAGCUCCGGCUAACUUCGUGCCAGCAGCCGCGGUAAUACGAAGGGAGCUAGCGUUGUUCGGAAUUACUGGGCGUAAAGGGCGCGUAGGCGGUUUUGUAAGUCAGAUGUGAAAGCCCCGGGCUUAACCUGGGAACUGCAUUUGAGACUGCAAGACUAGAGAUCGAGAGAGGAAAGUGGAAUUACGAGUGUAGAAGUGAAAUUCGUAGAUAUUCGUAGGAACACCGGUGGCGAAGGCGACUUUCCGGCUCGACCCUGACGCUAAAGCGCGAAAGCGUGGGGAGCAAACA